rnacentral:rRNA from 1 species
AACGAACGCUGGCGGCGUGCCUAAUACAUGCAAGUCGCGCGAGAAAGUCCUGGAGUGAGUAGAGCGGCGCACGGGUGAGUAAUGCAUAGGAACGUACCUUUCGGUGGGGAAGUAACCACGGGAAACUGUGGCUAAUACCGCAUAAUGACGCGAGUCUAAAGCAGCCCCUCUGUUUACAAAGGUUGCGCCGGUAGAGCGGCCUAUGUCCCAUUAGCUAGUU